rnacentral:piRNA from 1 species
UCUACCUGAACCGGUGCUACGGCCAUCUC